rnacentral:rRNA from 1 species
AACUUUCAACAACGGAUCUCUUGGCUCUCGCAUCGAUGAAGAACGCAGCGAAAUGCGAUAAGUAAUGUGAAUUGCAGAAUUCAGUGAAUCAUCGAAUCUUUGAACGCACCUUGCGCCUUUUGGUAUUCCGAAAGGCAUGCCUGUUUGAGUGUCAUGAAACCUCAAUCUAUCUG